rnacentral:misc_RNA from 1 species
AAGUCGUAACAAGGUCUCCGUAGGUGAACCUGCGGAGGGAUCAUUACACAAUAUGAAAGCAGGCUGGGUUCCCCAGAGCCGGGUGUCUUGUCCCCGCUGCUUCCGCCACAUCUGUGGUGCUGAAGCGGCGUGGGGUGGGCGUCUUUCUUUGGCCAGCCUGACUACAUAUUCACCCAUGUCUUUUGCGUACUACUUGUUUCCUUGGUGGGCUCGCCCACCGAUAGGACAAAAUUUAAACCUUUUUGUAAUUGUAAUCAGCGUCAGCAAAACAAUGUAAUAAAUUACAACUUUCAACAACGGAUCUCUUGGUUCUG